rnacentral:rRNA from 1 species
GACGUAGGGCGCAAGCGUUGUCCGGAUUUAUUGGGCGUAAAGAGCUCGUAGGCGGUCUGUCACGUCGGCUGUGAAAACCCGAGGCUCAACCUCGGGCCUGCAGUCGAUACGGGCAAACUAGAGUACUGCAGGGGAGACUGGAAUUCCUGGUGUAGCGGUGAAAUGCGCAGAUAUCAGGAGGAACACCGGUGGCGAAGGCGGAUCUCUGGGCCAUUACUGACGCUGAGGAGCGAAAGCGUGGGGAGCGAACAGG